rnacentral:rRNA from 1 species
UGAGUAACGCGUGAGUAACCUGCCUUCAAGAGGGGGAUAACAUUCUGAAAAGAAUGCUAAUACCGCAUGACAUAUCGGAACCACAUGGUUUUGAUAUCAAAGAUUUUAUCGCUUGAAGAUGGACUCGCGUCCGAUUAGUUAGUUGGUGAGGUAACGGCUCACCAAGACCGCGAUCGGUAGCCGGACUGAGAGGUUGAACGGCCACAUUGGGACUGAGACACGGCCCUGACUCCUACGGGAGGCAGCAUG